GACGAACGCUGGCGGCGUGCUUAACACAUGCAAGUCGAACGCUGAAGCUCAGCUUGCUGGGUGGAUGAGUGGCGAACGGGUGAGUAACACGUGAGUAACCUGCCCUCUUCUUUGGGAUAACGCCCGGAAACGGGCGCUAAUACUGGAUAUUCACUGAUUCUCGCAUGGGGGUUGGUGGAAAGGUUUUUUCUGGUGGGGGAUGGGCUCGCGGCCUAUCAGCUUGUUGGUGGGGUGAUGGCCUACCAAGGCUUUGACGGGUAGCCGGCCUGAGAGGGUGACCGGUCACAUUGGGACUGAGAUACGGCCCAGACUCCUACGGGAGGCAGCAGUGGGGAAUAUUGCACAAUGGGCGAAAGCCUGAUGCAGCGACGCCGCGUGAGGGAUGGAGGCCUUCGGGUUGUAAACCUCUUUCGCUCAUGGUCAAGCCGCAGCUUUGGGUUGUGGUGAGGGUAGUGGGUAAAGAAGCGCCGGCUAACUACGUG
rnacentral:rRNA from 1 species